AAAAAAAGUAUCGGUUCAGGCACCGUUAUCGUUUUAAAAGUAUCGGUUUAGCACCGGUAUGCCUCUGUCUGUCUGCAGGUGUGGUUGGAGCUAGGAACUCAAAAGCCAGCUGCAACCUUUGUGUCUACACAGAGAAGGCCUUCAGGACACAGACACGGGCAGUGUGUGAGAAAGCGUGCAGGACCCGGUGAGGUUGGAGCCAUGCACUCCAAAGCCAGGCAAAAGGGAGGUUCUUUCUUCCACCACGCUGGUCAGCGUUCCUGGUGGAGGCCUGCGCAGAACAGUCUCCACACUUGAAAGUGGCAAAGCGGGUGCCUGCCACAAUGGCCGGUAGCAACUUGCCGUUUGGAUUGGGAUGACUCUCCUCUUUGGUGUCGGUUGAUCUUUUGCUGUGGACUUUUCUGUGGAUUCAAUAUGUGGGGCCUGGUUUUAGUAUUGCAUACUGAUAAUAACUUUUGGGGGAAGGCGUGUAUCUUGCUGUUGUGUGGACAUUGUGUGGGGGGGACAGUGAAGUUAUGACAGGAAGUGAAGCGGAGAAGAGGUGGGGAGACUAUAACCAUAACUCAUUCGCAGUUUCACUGUCACGCUGUGUGCACUAAGACCUGCGGGCUGAGGAGCGGCGUGAAGUUCUCGCUGGCAAGCGAGAACGGCUACGGCGUGGUGAGGGUGAGCGAGAGCGAGAACACCAGGUGUGACUCCCUCCCAAGCACAGUCAGACAGCAAAUGGUUUCCUCUACAGGUUUUUAAUGAAGUCUUGUUCUCCACAUCAAACCGUGAAAACUAUGUAAUACAUGGUAUGAAACACAUAAGAAAUAACGUUAGCUGGUUAGUAGGGCUGGGCGGUGUGACGGUAUAUACCGUGCAACGGUAGAAAUGUGUCUACCGGGAGAGAUUUGGCCAUACCGUUUCAACCGCGGUAUACUCUUAUUUUGAAAUCCAAUCGAUUUAUUUUUAGAUAAUGACCUCCGAACUAUACUUCAUCCCUCUUAUUAUACAGUAACUCGCCAAAACAAUAGACAUUCCUCCAAAAAUACGUCUUUAACGAUUUCGUAGCCGUUUUGUGAUUUCUGCUGAGAAAUAAAAUAGAACUCUAAAGUUUCA
rnacentral:lncRNA from 1 species